AAAUUCUUUUACAAAAUCUUCCGGUAUACAAAAUAAAAGUUAAUGUGAAAACUGACUACUAAAACUCUUUUGCAAAGUCUUUUGGUAUACAAAAUAAAAGUUAAAAAAUAUUUAAAAGUUGAUUAUCGAAACUCUUUUGCAAAGUCUUCCAAAAUACAAAAUAAAAAUUAAAAAAUAUUUUAAAAAAUAAAAUGUUAAAUUAGUUAAAAAUAU
rnacentral:lncRNA from 1 species